ensembl:lncRNA
GGGGUCAGUGGUCACUCAGUGGUCACUCUGGUCACUCGCAGGGGGUCAGUGGUCACUCUGGCCGCUGUCCGGCGGUUGGUGCUCCCGGCCAUGCGGGACCCCCUGAGUGACCCUGAGUGACCAUUGGCCGUGUGCCCGGGGUCAGAGGUCACUGUGGGUCAGUGGUCACUCAGUGGUCACUCAGUGGUCACUCAGUGGUCACUCUGGUCACUCCCAGGGGGUCAGUGGUCACUCUGGCCGCUGUCCGGCGGUUGGUGCUCCCGGCCAUGCGGGACCCCCUGAGUGACCCUGAGUGACCAUUGGCCGUGUGCCCGGGGUCAGAGGUCACUGUGGGUCACUGUGGGUCAGUGGUCACUCAGUGGUCACUCAGUGGUCACUCUGGUCACUCGCAGGGGGUCAGUGGUCACUCUGGCCGCUGUCCGGCGGUUGGUGCUCCCGGCCAUGCGGGACCCCCUGAGUGACCCUGAGUGACCAUUGGCCGUGUGCCCGGGGUCAGAGGUCCCUGUGGGUCACUGUGGGUCACUGUGGGUCAGUGGUCACUCAGUGGUCACUCAGUGGUCACUCAGUGGUCACUCUGGUCACUCUCCCCAGGGGGUCAGUGGUCACUCUGGCCGCUGUCCGGCGCUUGGUGCUCCCGGCCAUGCGGGACCCCCUGAGUGACCCUGAGUGACCAUUGGCCGUGUGCCCGGGGUCAGAGGUCACUGUGGGUCACUGUGGGUCACUGUGGGUCAGUGGUCACUCAGUGGUCACUCAGUGGUCACUCUGGUCACUCCCAGGGGGUCAGUGGUCACUCUGGCCGCUGUCCGGCGGUUGGUGCUCCCGGCCAUGCGGGACCCCUGAGUGACCCUGAGUGACCAUUGGCCGUGUGCCCGGGGUCAGAGGUCACUGUGGGUCACUGUGGGUCAGUGGUCACUCAGUGGUCACUCAGUGGUCACUCUGGUCACUCCCAGGGGGUCAGUGGUCACUCUGGCCGCUGUCCGGCGGUUGGUGCUCCCGGCCAUGCGGGACCCCCUGAGCGGCGCCGCCCUGAGCGACGGAGACGUCAUCGAGCUGCAGAGGGGCGGGACCGGCUUCGCCGGGGCCGGAGUUUCCCUGGAGGCCAAAAAAUCCCGUCCGGUGAUGCAGGCCUAGGGGGGACCCCAAAAUCCCCCCUGGAACCCCAAAAAUCCCCCCAAAAACCCCAAAUUCCCGUUCAUCCCCCCCAAAUUCCCGUUCAUCCCCCCCAAAACACCUUUCAUUUCACCCAAAACCCCUUUAAUUCCACCCAAAAUCCUCCCUGGAACCCCCAAAAUCCCAUUAAUCCCCCCCAAAAUCCCGUUAAUCCCCCCCAAAAUCCCAUUAAUCCCCCCAAAUUCCUGUUAAUCCCCCCCAAAAUCCCAUUAAUCCCCCCCAAAAUCCCGUUAAUCCCCCCCAAAAUCCCAUUAAAAAUCCCAUUAAUUCCCCCCAAAUUCCCAUUAACCCUUCCCAAAAUCCCAUUAAUUCCCCCCAAAUUCCUGUUAAUUACCCCCAAAAUCCCAUUAAUUACCCCCAAAAUCCCAUUAAUCCUCCCAAAAAUCCCGUUAAUCCCCCCCAAAAUCCCAUUAAAAAUCCCAUUAAUCCCCCCCAAAAUCCCAUUAAAAAUCCCAUUAACCCCCCCCAAAAUCCCGUUAAUCCCCCCCAAACCCCCAGAUCCCACUUCCCCCUCCAAAUAAACUCGUUUCACCCCAAAAUUUCUUUGGUUCCGCUCCUUGAACCCCAAAAACGUUUCGGGGCGCCCCAAAAACCUUUUGGGGUUUGGGGCUCCAUCGCCCUUUUAAUUCCCCCCCGUGGGCCCCACCCGCGCAUCGCCGCUUUAAGCCACGCCCCCUCCCGCGCCUCAACCAAUCAGCGCUCAGCACACUGCAUCGCUUUAUUUGCAUAGUGGGCGCGGCCUCAGCGGGCGUCACCCAAUCAGCUUUGGAGAAAAAUAAAGGGGCGGGGCUCCGCGAAGCCACGCCCAUCUCUGGUACAAAUUCGGGGUUGUCAAUCAAAGCCCGACUGACCACGCCCCCUUUAAAAGGCCACGCCCCCUUUUUUGGGGGGGUCCCCAAAAUUUCUGUGCGGGGGGGGGGGGGGAGGGGAGGGACCCCCCCAAAAUAAGACACUCGGUGGGGGAGGGGCAACCCCCAAAUUUUGGGGGAUCCCAACACUCGAACCCCCCAAAUUUUGGGGAAAAAUCCCCAAAAAUUUUGGGAUGAAAACCCCAAAUUUUUGGGCGAAACACACAAAUUUUGACCUGAAAACCCCCAAAUUUUCGGGGAAAAUCCCCAAAUUUUGGGCUGAACCCCCAAAUAUUGGGAUAAAACCCCACAAUUUCAGGGAAAAUUCCCAAAUUUUGGGCUGAACCCCCCCAAAUUUUCAGGGAAAAUCCCCAAAAUUUGGGCUGAAAACCCCAAAUUUUGGGGUGAAACCCCCAGACUUUGAGCUGUAACCCCCAAAUUUUUGGGAAAACCCCCAAAAUUUGAGCUGAAAACCCCAAAAUUUUUUGCUCCUCCCCCCAUUUUUAGGAGCACCCCAAAAAUCGAUGGGGGGGUGAAAAAUCUUCAUUUUAAGGCUUGGAAAUUGGGAUUUUUUGGGGUUUUUGGUGGAUUUUUGGGGUUUUUUUUGGUUUUUUGGGGUUCCCGGAUUUUGGGGGAUUUUGGGGAUUUUUGGGGGGUCACGGGGGGUCCCCCCCGAGCAGACGGGGCCGGGGGAGGUCCCCAAAUAUUUCGGUGCCAUCGCCGACCCCAACACCUCAAAUCCCAAAAUUUUAGGUAAAAACCCCAAAAUUUGAGCUGAAACCCCCAAAUUUUCGGAAAAAAACCCAAAAUUUGAGCUGAAAACCCCAAAAUUUUUUGCUUCUCCCCCCAUUUUUUGGAGCACCUGAAAAAGCGACAGGGGGGCGAAAAAUCUUCAUUUUAAGGUGUUAAAAAUGGGAUUUUUUGUGGAAUUUUUGGCUUUUUUUGGGGUUUUUUGGGGUUUUUUGGGUUCCCGGAUUUGGGGGGAUUUUGGGGAUUUUUGGGGGGUCACGGGGGGUCCCCCCCGAGCAGACGGGGCCGGGGGAGGUCCCCAAAUAUUUCAGUGCCGAACACCUCAAACCCCCAAAUUUUAGGUAAAAACCCCAAAUUUUGUGCUGAAACCCCCAAAUUUUCGGGAAAAACCCCAAAAUUUUGAGCUGAAAACCCCAAAAUCUUUUGCUCCUCCCCCGAUAUUUUAGGGGCAACCAACAAUCAAUGGGGGGGGUGAAAAAUCUUCAUUUUAAGGCAUUAAAAAUGGGAUUUUUGGUGGAAUUUUUGGGGUUUUUUUGGGUUUUUUUGGUUUUUUUUUGGUUUUUUUGGGUUCCCGGAUUUUGGGGGAUUUUGGGGAUUUUUGGGGGGUCACGGGGGGUCCCCCCCGAGCAGGCGGGGCCGGGGGAGGUCCCCAAACAUUUCGGUGCCGAACACCUCAAACCCCCAAAUUUUAGGUAAAAACCCCAAAUUUUGAGCUGAAACCCCCAAAUUUUUGGGAAAAACCCCAAAAUUUCGAGCUGAAAACCCCAAAAUUUUUUGCUCCUCCCCCCAUUUUUUAGGGGCACCCCAAAAAUCGACGGAGGGGCGAAAAAUCUUCAUUUUAAGGCUUUGAAAUUGGGAUUUUUUGUGGAAUUUUUUGCUUUUUUUGGGGUUUUUUGGGGUUUUUGGGGUUCCCGGAUUUUGGGGGAUUUUGGGGAUUUUUGGGGGGUCACGGGGGGUCCCCCCCGAGCAGGCGGGGCCGGGGGAGGUCCCCGAACAUUUCGGUGCCGUCGCCGCCCCCGCGCAGCGUCAGCGCUCGCAUCGAGGCCGCGAUGCGCUCCAGGUCCGGCGGCGCCUGUGGGGACCAAAAUUUGGGGAUUAUUUUGGGGGGUUUGGGGGGAUGAACCCCAAAAUGAUCCCAAAAAAUGGGUUUGGGAGGGUGGGAAUUGAAAAAAAAAAAAAAAAAAAAAAUUUGAUGUAAAUCCGCCAAAAAAAUCCUCAAAAUCUCCCCAUAAAAACCCCGAAAUUCCCAUAAAAGCCCCCAAAAAAUCCUCUGUUAAAAAAACCCCAAAUUUACCCAAAAUCCCCCAAAAAAGCCCCCAAAUCCCCCCAUAAGAAAACCCAAAUUUACCCAAAAUCCCUCAAAUCCCCCCAAAUUCCCCAAAUC